UUAAGCGACUAAGCGUACACGGUGGAUGCCCUGGCAGUCAGAGGCGAUGAAGGACGUGCUAAUCUGCGAUAAGCGUCGGUAAGGUGAUAUGAACCGUUAUAGCCGGCGAUUUCCGAAUGGGGAAACCCAGUGUGAUUCGUCACACUAUCAUUAACUGAAUCCAUAGGUUAAUGAGGCGAACCGGGGGAACUGAAACAUCUAAGUACCCCGAGGAAAAGAAAUCAACCGAGAUUCCCCCAGUAGCGGCGAGCGAACGGGGAGCAGCCCAGAGCCUGAAUCAGUGUGUGUGUUAGUGGAAGCGUCUGGAAAGGCGCGCGAUACAGGGUGACAGCCCCGUACACAAAAAUGCACAUGCUGUGAGCUCGAUGAGUAGGGCGGGACACGUGGUAUCCUGUCUGAAUAUGGGGGGACCAUCCUCCAAGGCUAAAUACUCCUGACUGACCGAUAGUGAACCAGUACCGUGAGGGAAAGGCGAAAAGAACCCCGGCGAGGGGAGUGAAAAAGAACCUGAAACCGUGUACGUACAAGCAGUGGGAGCACAGAGCAAUCUGUGUGACUGCGUACCUUUUGUAUAAUGGGUCAGCGACUUAUAUUCUGUAGCAAGGUUAACCGAAUAGGGGAGCCGAAGGGAAACCGAGUCUUAACUGGGCGUUAAGUUGCAGGGUAUAGACCCGAAACCCGGUGAUCUAGCCAUGGGCAGGUUGAAGGUUGGGUAACACUAACUGGAGGACCGAACCGACUAAUGUUGAAAAAUUAGCGGAUGACUUGUGGCUGGGGGUGAAAGGCCAAUCAAACCGGGAGAUAGCUGGUUCUCCCCGAAAGCUAUUUAGGUAGCGCCUCGUGAAUUCAUCUCCGGGGGUAGAGCACUGUUUCGGCAAGGGGGUCAUCCCGACUUACCAACCCGAUGCAAACUGCGAAUACCGGAGAAUGUUAUCACGGGAGACACACGGCGGGUGCUAACGUCCGUCGUGAAGAGGGAAACAACCCAGACCGCCAGCUAAGGUCCCAAAGUCAUGGUUAAGUGGGAAACGAUGUGGGAAGGCCCAGACAGCCAGGAUGUUGGCUUAGAAGCAGCCAUCAUUUAAAGAAAGCGUAAUAGCUCACUGGUCGAGUCGGCCUGCGCGGAAGAUGUAACGGGGCUAAACCAUGCACCGAAGCUGCGGCAGCGACGCUGAUGCGUUGUUGGGUAGGGGAGCGUUCUGUAAGCCUGCGAAGGUGUGCUGUGAGGCAUGCUGGAGGUAUCAGAAGUGCGAAUGCUGACAUAAGUAACGAUAAAGCGGGUGAAAAGCCCGCUCGCCGGAAGACCAAGGGUUCCUGUCCAACGUUAAUCGGGGCAGGGUGAGUCGACCCCUAAGGCGAGGCCGAAAGGCGUAGUCGAUGGGAAACAGGUUAAUAUUCCUGUACUUGGUGUUACUGCGAAGGGGGGUCGGAGAAGGCUAUGUUGGCCGGGCGACGGUUGUCCCGGUUUAAGCGUGUAGGCUGGUUUUCCAGGCAAAUCCGGAAAAUCAAGGCUGAGGCGUGAUGACGAGGCACUACGGUGCUGAAGCAACAAAUGCCCUGCUUCCAGGAAAAGCCUCUAAGCAUCAGGUAACAUCAAAUCGUACCCCAAACCGACACAGGUGGUCAGGUAGAGAAUACCAAGGCGCUUGAGAGAACUCGGGUGAAGGAACUAGGCAAAAUGGUGCCGUAACUUCGGGAGAAGGCACGCUGAUAUGUAGGUGAAGUCCCUCGCGGAUGGAGCUGAAAUCAGUCGAAGAUACCAGCUGGCUGCAACUGUUUAUUAAAAACACAGCACUGUGCAAACACGAAAGUGGACGUAUACGGUGUGACGCCUGCCCGGUGCCGGAAGGUUAAUUGAUGGGGUCAGCGCAAGCGAAGCUCUUGAUCGAAGCCCCGGUAAACGGCGGCCGUAACUAUAACGGUCCUAAGGUAGCGAAAUUCCUUGUCGGGUAAGUUCCGACCUGCACGAAUGGCGUAAUGAUGGCCAGGCUGUCUCCACCCGAGACUCAGUGAAAUUGAACUCGCUGUGAAGAUGCAGUGUACCCGCGGCAAGACGGAAAGACCCCGUGAACCUUUACUAUAGCUUGACACUGAACAUUGAGCCUUGAUGUGUAGGAUAGGUGGGAGGCUUUGAAGUGUGGACGCCAGUCUGCAUGGAGCCGGCCUUGAAAUACCACCCUUUAAUGUUUGAUGUUCUAACGUUGACCCGUAAUCCGGGUUGCGGACAGUGUCUGGUGGGUAGUUUGACUGGGGCGGUCUCCUCCUAAAGAGUAACGGAGGAGCACGAAGGUUGGCUAAUCCUGGUCGGACAUCAGGAGGUUAGUGCAAUGGCAUAAGCCAGCUUGACUGCGAGCGUGACGGCGCGAGCAGGUGCGAAAGCAGGUCAUAGUGAUCCGGUGGUUCUGAAUGGAAGGGCCAUCGCUCAACGGAUAAAAGGUACUCCGGGGAUAACAGGCUGAUACCGCCCAAGAGUUCAUAUCGACGGCGGUGUUUGGCACCUCGAUGUCGGCUCAUCACAUCCUGGGGCUGAAGUAGGUCCCAAGGGUAUGGCUGUUCGCCAUUUAAAGUGGUACGCGAGCUGGGUUUAGAACGUCGUGAGACAGUUCGGUCCCUAUCUGCCGUGGGCGCUGGAGAACUGAGGGGGGCUGCUCCUAGUACGAGAGGACCGGAGUGGACGCAUCACUGGUGUUCGGGUUGUCAUGCCAAUGGCACUGCCCGGUAGCUAAAUGCGGAAGAGAUAAGUGCUGAAAGCAUCUAAGCACGAAACUUGCCCCGAGAUGAGUUCUCCCUGACUCCUUGAGAGUCCUGAAGGAACGUUGAAGACGACGACGUUGAUAGGCCGGGUGUGUAAGCGCAGCGAUGCGUUGAGCUAACCGGUACUAAUGAACCGUGAGGCUUAACCUU
rnacentral:rRNA from 1 species